AUGUAAUAUAAUGCCUACAAUGUUAAUGCACCAGAUCCCAUCAGAACUCUGUAGUUAAGUGCACUUGGGAUAGAGUAGUAUUGGGAUGGGUGACCUCCCAGGAAGUCCUAGUGUUUUACAUG
rnacentral:rRNA from 1 species